rnacentral:rRNA from 1 species
GACGAACGCUGGCGGCGUGCUUAACACAUGCAAGUCGAACGGAAAGGCCCUGCUUUUGUGGGGUGCUCGAGUGGCGAACGGGUGAGUAACACGUGAGUAACCUGCCCUUGACUUUGGGAUAACUUCAGGAAACUGGGGCUAAUCCCGGAUAGGAGCUCCUGCUGCAUGGUGGGGGUUGGAAAGUUUCGGCGGUUGGGGAUGGACUCGCGGCUUAUCAGCUUGUUGGUGGGGUAGUGGCUUACCAAGGCUUUGACGGGUAGCCGGCCUGUGAGGGUGACCGGCCACAUUGGGACUGAGAUACGGCCCAGACGCCUACGGGAGGCAGCAGUGGGGAAUAUUACACAAUGGGCGGAAGCCUGAUGCAACAACGCCGCGGGCGGGAUGACGGCCUGCGGGUUGUAAACCGCAGUCGCCUGUGACGAAGCGGGAGUGACGGUAAUGGGUAAAGAAGCACCGGCUAACUACGUG